UUUUUUUUUUUUUUUUGAGACAGAGUCUUGCUCUGUCACCCAGGCUGGAGUGCAGUGGCCGGAUCUCGGCUCACUGCAAGCUCUGCCUCCCGGGUUCACGCCAUUCUCCUGCCUCAGCCUCCCGAGUAGCUGGGACUACAGGCUCGCCACCCUCGCCCGGCUAGUUUUUUUGUAUUUUUUUAGUAGAGACGGGGUUUCACCGUGUUAGCCAGGAUGGUCUCGAUCUCCUGACCUCGUGAUCCGCCCGUCUCGGCCUCCCAAAGUGCUGGGAUUACAGGCUUGAGCCACCGCGCCCGGCCCCCACAAUUUUCUUACAGGAGUCUGAGCAUGGCUCAUCUGGGUCCUCUCCAAGCCUGUGGUCAAGGUGCAGGCCAGGGUUAGGGACUCAUCUGUGGCUUCACUGGGGAAGGAUCUUCUUCCAAGCUCAUGUACUUGUUUGCAGAAUUAAGCUGCGAGUAGGCUGUUGGACUGAGGGCAUCAGUUUCUUGCUUGUAAGCCAACAAGGAAGGAGGCAGCCUAGCAAAACUGUCAUUACAAUUUCAUAUAACCUACACACACACAGUCACAUCCAUCCUGUCACCUUUGCCAUAGUCUAUUAGUUAGAAGCAAGUCACCGGCCCCACCCACACCCAAGUGGGAGGCCUCUCAAAAGGGCAUGGAGACCAGAGGGAUCAUGAGCCCACCUUCAUGUCGGUUGGCCAUGAGUCCUCAUCAGAUAUUCGCUGCUGGUCAAUUGAAAUGCUCCCUUUGGCAACUGAAGGUAUCACUAUUACAUGGACGUGAUGCCUCCCCAAGAAGAUGGUGAAGUGAGCUCUCUUCCUGCUAAGAGUGUUCCCCCUAGCUUCUGCUCAGCGCUGGGCACAGGCAAGCGGGUCAAUAGAUAUGAAAUGAAGAAAUAUUAUAGGAUGCACAUUACUGCUGGAAGGACUUGGAGUUUUCUUCCAUCAAGGUAACGAUCUGACUGGCAUACAUUUCUCAGUUGACAGUUGUGAUUUAAAAAACCCAUAAAACAACUGUAACAGCCACGAAGUGGGAACUGCAGCAGACAUCGCCGUUAUGAAUGUGACUCUGCCCAAGAAAAAUGUCUCCUAAACCCCAGCACCUAUUGUUUGCCUCGUACUCUACAGAUGAGCUAUGUAUAUUAACACCACUUCCUGGGUCUGCCUGUGCAAAACUUUACAAGCACAGUAUAGGAGCACAGGCUCUGGGCCAGGCUGCCGCGGUCAACGCCCAGCUGAGCCUCUGCCUGUGUGACCUUGGACAGAUCGCUUCACUUCUUGUGCCUGUUUUCUCAUUUAUAAGAUGGAAGUGAUAAUGGUGCCCACUUCCCAGAGUCGCUAUGUGGGUUAAAUGAAUUAAUAUAUGUGAACAGCCUGGAAAAUAGCAAAUACUAAGUGUUUGCUAUCACUAUUGGAAGUUUAAUCCAUUUUUAGAAUGUAUCAGGAUCAAAGCAUUCCUUUUUGUUUCUGCUCUCCCGAACUCUGCCUUUAAAGGGAGGAGAAAACAUUCUGACUAGAAGGAAAGUUCUGGAAAGUGUAUGUUUGAGUAAGUGGGAGGUGAUGAAGAGGAAUAAUGCUUCAGGCCAGGAUUUAAGAUUACACUUGUAAUCCUAGCACUUUGGGAGGCCAAGCCUGGAA
rnacentral:lncRNA from 1 species